rnacentral:rRNA from 1 species
UACGGAGGGUGCAAGCGUUAUCCGGAUUCACUGGGUUUAAAGGGUGCGUAGGUGGGCUAGUAAGUCCGUGGUGAAAUCUCCAAGCUUAACUUGGAAACUGCCGUGGAUACUAUUAGUCUUGAAUCUCGUGGAGGUAAGCGGAAUAUGUCAUGUAGCGGUGAAAUGCUUAGAUAUCGUCAAGAACACCUAUAGCGAAGGCAGCUUACUAGGCUGUAACUGGCGCUGAGGCACGAAAGUGUGGGGAUCAAACAGG